UUUUUUCCUAAAAAAUUUUUUUCCUCAGGUCUUAAGAGGUUAAAACUACGCUUACCCUUUCAAUUCACAUUUGCUAUACCCCCACUCUCCAAGUCAAGAUGUCUUUGGCCACCAAACAACACUCUAUUCUUUAACUAAAUGUGUCAGACCUUUGAUGAGUCAUAAGCCAACAUCAAAGUUCCAUAUAUGUCAUGCACCUACCUUUUAUCUAACUUUUCGACCCACAGCAUCAUCUUGUUCACUUGAGACUUCAAAAUUGUUACAAAGCCAAACCCCUGCCCACUCCGACAACUCCUCCCAUGUCUUUGACUCUGACUCUUCCCUUUAUAAUCCCCACUACAUCUAUAUGUAAAAAGCUACAUUCCUCACCACUGAACUACUGUCUUAAACUCUCCUGCCCAUACAUCAGUUCCAAACAAAUUGCAUCUAUGGAUCUGCAAGGACACACAUCCAACGCAAAUUUAACAACUACUAUCUCCAAAAGAUCCUUUAUCAUACCCCAAGGAUUGCACGUCUGCUUCCUCACAGACUCAAUAUGUCGAGAUAUUAAAGACUACAUGCCAAAUGCACAAUGCUGGGUAAAUAAAUAUAAUUGCUUUUAUUUACUUUCUGCAUCAUCCUCUUAGAAUCUCCUGCCUUCUGGUGAACCCUGUUAAUUUUCUAUCUAUCAUAAGAUCAUUUAAUUAAUAUAAUUA